AGCUAUAUUACACACUGUUACAAAUGAAGACACCGGAUGUUCGUCAUUCAUCCACCCCGUCAAGUUGACAGAAGAAAGCAGCAGAAGCCAUUAAAGGAGAACAAUUACGCUUCAGUUAUGACAUCUGCAUCUAUGCCUGGGGGAGACCGUGGGGGAACAGCUUCGUCAUGAAUUUCAAAGAGGGAACCACUUUCCGCUAAAAUCUCCUGGCAGCUUGAGAAUGUUGAUUUCUACCAAUCUUUCUUGAAGGAAGUGACUCCGAGGCAGCAGCCUUUGAGGAACUGUUAUUUUCAAAGGAUGCUAAGAAUUUGUCCUUUGAUAGAGAUUUUUGAGAAGAUAAAAACAAUAGAACUGAAAACACCACUCUCC
rnacentral:lncRNA from 1 species